rnacentral:rRNA from 1 species
UACGUAGGUGGCGAGCGUUGUCCGGAAUUACUGGGUGUAAAGGGCGAGUAGGCGGAUAAUCAAGUCAGUAGUGAAAUACCACGGCUCAACUGUGGGGCCGCUAUUGAAACUGAAUAUCUUGAGUGAUGGAGAGGCAGAUGGAAUUCCCAGUGUAGCGGUGAAAUGCGUAGAGAUUGGGAGGAACACCAGUGGCGAAGGCGGUCUGCUGGACAUUAACUGACGCUGAGGAGCGAAAGCGUGGGGAGCAAAC